UACAGAGGGGGCAAGCGUUGCUCGGAAUCACUGGGCUUAAAGGGCGCGUAGGCGGGCCACCAAGUCUGUGGUGAAAGCCUCCAGCUCAACUGGAGAAGUGCCGUGGAUACUGGUGGCCUCGAGGAGGGUAGGGGCAUCUGGAACAGUAGGUGGAGCGGUGAAAUGCGUUGAUAUCUACUGGAACUCCGGUGGCGAAGGCGAGGUGCUGGACCCUUUCUGACGCUGAGGCGCGAAAGCCAGGGGAGCAAACGGG
rnacentral:rRNA from 1 species